GCAUUAAUGGGGUAGUGGUAACCUGGGUCGUUGCCAUCUUACGUAAGUAUCAACUCGACCCGCCGGGGGUUCGAUUCCCUCUUAAUGCA
rnacentral:tRNA from 1 species